rnacentral:RNase_P_RNA from 1 species
ACGUUUGGGUAAUUGCUGCAGUUGCUUAACUGUAGAGGAAAGUCCAUGCUCGCACAGACUGAGAUGUUUGUAGUGUUCGUGCCUGGCGAAAAAAUAAGCCACGGCAGCAGAAUUCAUUCUGCUGACGGCCGGGAAAGUGCCUAAGUCCAUUAGGAUAUGGCAUGAAUACCUAUAAAAGUGCCACAGUGACGUAGCCUUUUCAGAAAUGAAAAGGGUGGAACGCGGUAAACCCCACGAGCGAGAAACCCAAAUUAAUGGUAGGGGCGCUUUCUUCCUUGGAAAUGAACGAGGAGAAGGACAGAGGCUAUUGCCUCUGUAGAUAGAUGAUUACCACCUAAGUACGAGAUGAAAAAUCGCUUGCAGUACUACGGUACAAAACAUGGCUUACAGAA